rnacentral:rRNA from 1 species
AGCCGCGGUAAUACGGGGGAUGCAAGCGUUAUCCGGAAUCAUUGGGCGUAAAGCGCCUGUAGGUUGUUUAAUAAGUCUGUUGUUAAAGACUAGGGCUUAACCCUAGAAAAGCAAUGGAAACUACUAGACUAGAGUAUGGCAGGGGUAGAGGGAAUUUCUAGUGUAGCGGUGAAAUGCGUAGAUAUUAGAAAGAACACCGGUGGCGAAAGCGCUCUACUGGACCAUUACUGACACUCAGAGGCGAAAGCUAGGGUAGCAAAAGGGAUUAGAUACCCCUGUAGUCCUAGCCGUAAACGAUGGAUACUACAUGUUGUGCAUUAUGUACAGUAUGGUAGCUAACGCGUUAAGUAUCCCGCCUGGGGAGUACGCUCGCAAGGGUGAAACUCAAAGGAAUUGACGGGGGCCCGCACAAGCGGUGGAGCAUGUGGUUUAAUUCGAUGCAACGCGAAGAACCUUACCAGGACUUGACAUACUACAAAUUCUUUUGAGAAAAAGAAGUGCCUUCGGGAAUGUAGAUACAGGUGGUGCAUGGCUGUCGUCAGCUCGUGUCGUGAGAUGUUGGGUUAAGUCCCGCAACGAGCGCAACCCUUAUUUUUAGUUACCAAUUCGUUGGGUUCUCUAGAAAGACUGCCGGUGACAAACCGGAGGAAGGUGAGGAUGACGUCAAGUCAGCAUGCCCCUUAUGUCCUGGGCUACACACGUGCUACAAUGGUUAAGACAAAGAGUCGCGAGCUCGUGAGAGUCAGCUAAUCUCAUAAACUUAGCCCAAGUUCAGAUUGUAGGCUGCAACUCGCCUGCAUGA